GAUUGGUGCUUGCAUCAUGAUUUACAUUUGAGUGAGUGGCGAACUGGUGAGUAACACGUGGGAAACCUGCCCAGAAGCGGGGGAUAACACCUGGAAACAGAUGCUAAUACCGCAUAACAACUUGGACCGCAUGGUCCGAGUUUGAAAGAUGGCUUCGGCUAUCACUUUUGGAUGGUCCCGCGGCGUAUUAGCUAGAUGGUGGGGUAACGGCUCACCAUGGCAAUGAUACGUAGCCGACCUGAGAGGGUAAUCGGCCACAUUGGGACUGAGACACGGCCCAAACUCCUACGGGAGGCAGCAGUAGGGAAUCUUCCACAAUGGACGAAAGUCUGAUGGAGCAACGCCGCGUGAGUGAAGAAGGGUUUCGGCUCGUAAAACUCUGUUGUUAAAGAAGAACAUAUCUGAGAGUAACUGUUCAGGUAUUGACGGUAUUUAACCAGAAAGCCACGGCUAACUACGUGCCAGCAGCCGCGGUAAUACGUAGGUGGCAAGCGUUGUCCGGAUUUAUUGGGCGUAAAGCGAGCGCAGGCGGUUUUUUAAGUCUGAUGUGAAAGCCUUCGGCUCAACCGAAGAAGUGCAUCGGAAACUGGGAAACUUGAGUGCAGAAGAGGACAGUGGAACUCCAUGUGUAGCGGUGAAAUGCGUAGAUAUAUGGAAGAACACCAGUGGCGAAGGCGGCUGUCUGGUCUGUAACUGACGCUGAGGCUCGAAAGUAUGGGUAGCAAACAGGAUUAGAUACCCUGGUAGUCCAUACCGUAAACGAUGAAUGCUAAGUGUUGGAGGGUUUCCGCCCUUCAGUGCUGCAGCUAACGCAUUAAGCAUUCCGCCUGGGGAGUACGGCCGCAAGGCUGAAACUCAAAGGAAUUGACGGGGGCCCGCACAAGCGGUGGAGCAUGUGGUUUAAUUCGAAGCUACGCGAAGAACCUUACCAGGUCUUGACAUACUAUGCAAAUCUAAGAGAUUAGACGUUCCCUUCGGGGACAUGGAUACAGGUGGUGCAUGGUUGUCGUCAGCUCGUGUCGUGAGAUGUUGGGUUAAGUCCCGCAACGAGCGCAACCCUUAUUAUCAGUUGCCAGCAUUAAGUUGGGCACUCUGGUGAGACUGCCGGUGACAAACCGGAGGAAGGUGGGGAUGACGUCAAAUCAUCAUGCCCCUUAUGACCUGGGCUACACACGUGCUACAAUGGAUGGUACAACGAGUUGCGAACUCGCGAGAGUAAGCUAAUCUCUUAAAGCCAUUCUCAGUUCGGAUUGUAGGCUGCAACUCGCCUACAUGAAGUCGGAAUCGCUAGUAAUCGCGGAUCAGCAUGCCGCGGGUGAAUACGUUCCCGGGCCUUGUACACACCGCCCGUCACACCAUGAGAGUUUGUAACACCC
rnacentral:rRNA from 1 species